CGUUAGCGGCGGACGGGUGAGUAACACGUGGGUAACCUACCUAUAAGACUGGGAUAACUCCGGGAAACCGGGGCUAAUACCGGAUAACACAUGAAACAGCAUGGUUUCAUGAUGAAAGACGGUUUUGCUGUCACUUAUAGAUGGACCCGCGGCGUAUUAGCUAGUUGGUAAGGUAACGGCUUACCAAGGCAACGAUACGUAGCCGACCUGAGAGGGUGAUCGGCCACACUGGAACUGAGACACGGUCCAGACUCCUACGGGAGGCAGCAGGC
rnacentral:rRNA from 1 species